AUGGGCUCGUGUCUGCAGUCAAACUUCGGCGCUAGCGUGGAGCCGUGGAGUUGUGCCGGGAGAGCGGCACUACUACAAGGUGGUGGUGUGCGCUGUGCCGGGAGCACCACUACUCAGAGUCAUGGACUGUCAGCAGGAUCAAGGCAAAAUAUCAACUCGGCAAAAAGGUAUAGUGCAAAUGUCUCCUUCCAUAAUACUCCCUCCGUCUCAUAA
rnacentral:rRNA from 1 species